rnacentral:rRNA from 1 species
UACAGAGGGUGCGAGCGUUGUUCGGAAUUAUUGGGCGUAAAGAGCUUGUAGGCGGUUUGUCGCGUCUGCUGUGAAAUCUCAAGGCUCAACCUUGAGCUUGCAGUGGGUACGGGCAGACUAGAGUGUGGUAGGGGAGACUGGAAUUCCUGGUGUAGCGGUGAAAUGCGCAGAUAUCAGGAAGAACACCCGUGGCGAAGGCGGCUCUCUGGGACGGUACUGACGCUGAGACGCGAAAGCGUGGGGAGCGAACAGG